CCAAAGAAAAACAAAACAAAAAAAGAAAAAAACAAAAACGUAAUUAUCAAAGAAAAAAUAAAUAAUAUGCGAAAAAAAGAAAUUGCUGUUUUAUUUAUUGUUAAUUUUAUAAAUUAGUUUCUUUGGACAUUUUGGACCUUAAAAUAAACACUUGUUUGGGAAUUGUUUAUUAUUGUGAAUGAAUUGACAACUCUGUGCGUGUAUAACUGAUUGCCGCCAUUUUAUAAAGCGAAAGUUUUUCUUACAUACUUUGUGGCAGCAGGUACAAGAAGGAGUUUAAUUUAGUGAAAAAAGUAAUUAAUUAAGUUUAAAAUUGUGUUUUUAGUUAAAAAAUUGUUUAAUUAUGGUUUCUUUAAGUUGAAUAAUUAUCAAGUGAAACUUUUACAAUGUAAACAAAUCGCAAGCUGGAGAAAAAAUUUGUUUCCAUUUCAUCGAUGUCAUCGAAAAUCAAUUCCAAAUCGAUCUGUUUAUGCAGUGAACCAUGAAGUUAGCCGGAACCAAGAAGCUCAUAUGAAACAUAAACAAAUUAUAUAUUAAUUGUUAUCAGAAAAAUAAUAAAUAAUAAGUUAAAUUGUUUAUAAUUAUAUUUAAAACACUUUAAUCGAAUAAAAUUUUAUUAAAACUUGUUAA